UAAAUGUACUACCUUGCUUUCUCGCCU
rnacentral:piRNA from 1 species